AUAUCAUUUUGAGUGUGUUUGCAAAGUCAAAUUAUGCAGCACAUGUGAAUAUUGCUUGGUUGCUUGAAUUGUAAGAAAAGUACCAUUUAACCAUACUUGCACCAUACUUGUUUAUGCAUCCACCAUACCAUGAUUUGUACUCUCAAAACAGAAGAUUAGAAGCCAUUUUACUGUCAAUUAUGAAUACAUUCUGCAGCCAAAACC
rnacentral:lncRNA from 1 species